rnacentral:rRNA from 1 species
UAGAGAGUGCCCUUCGGGGAGCUCUUGCACAGGUGCUGCAUGGCUGUCGUCAGCUCGUGUCGUGAGAUGUUGGGUUAAGUCCCGCAACGAGCGCAACCCUUGUUUUUAGUUGCCUUUUAUGGAACUCUAGAAAGACUGCUGGUUAUAAACCGGAGGAAGGUGGGGAUGACGUCAAGUCAGCAUGCCCCUUACACCCUGGGCUACACACGUACUACAUUGGGCGAGACAAUGAGAUGCAAAUCUGCAAAGACUAGCUAAUCUAUAAACUCGUUCUAAGUUCGGAUUGUAGGCUGCAACUCGCCUACAUGAAGGUGGAAUCGCUAGUAAUCGCUGGUCAGCUACACAGCGGUGAAUUCGUUCCCGGGCCUUGUACACACCGCCCGUCACACCAUGGAAGCUGGUUAUACCCGAAGUCAGUACUCUAACCAUUUGGAGGAGGGUGCCUAAGGUAGAAUUAGUGACUGGGGUGAAGUCGUAACAAGGUAACC